rnacentral:rRNA from 1 species
GAAGCUAAUACCGGAUAGGAUCUUCUCCUUCAUGGGAGAUGAUUGAAAGAUGGUUUCGGCUAUCACUUACAGAUGGGCCCGCGGUGCAUUAGCUAGUUGGUGAGGUAACGGCUCACCAAGGCAACGAUGCAUAGCCGACCUGAGAGGGUGAUCGGCCACACUGGGACUGAGACACGGCCCAGACUCCUACGGGAGGCAGCAGUAGGGAAUCUUCCGCAAUGGACGAAAGUCUGACGGAGCAACGCCGCGUGAGUGAUGAAGGCUUUCGGGUCGUAAAACUCUGUUGUUAGGGAAGAACAAGUACGAGAGUAACUGCUCGUACCUUGACGGUACCUAACCAGAAAGCCACGGCUAACUACGUGCCAGCAGCCGCGGUAAUACGUAGGUGGCAAGCGUUAUCCGGAAUUAUUGGGCGUAAAGCGCGCGCAGGCGGUUUCUUAAGUCUGAUGUGAAAGCCCACGGCUCAACCGUGGAGGGUCAUUGGAAACUGGGGAACUUGAGUGCAGAANAGAAAAGCGGAAUUCCACGUGUAGCGGUGAAUGCGUA